rnacentral:tRNA from 1 species
UGCAAAGUGGCUGAGUAUUAGGCGGUAGAUUGUAAAUCUUCAAACAAGUUAAAGACUUCUUUGUA